rnacentral:tRNA from 1 species
GCUCAGUUGGUUGAGCGUCCAACUCUUGAUUUCAGCUCAGGCCAUGAUCUCAGGGUUGAAGGAUCAAGCCCUUUAUUGGGCU